rnacentral:lncRNA from 1 species
GGAAAAGACGUUGAUGAAAGGAUGGACGUUUUACCUCAGGACGGUUGGUGAAGAAAAAUUAUAAAAGAAGACGACAGAACUACAACAAAACCCAUAGCUACUAAGACAUGAAGGGAAAUACAUGUUUUAUUUAAUAAAAGAGUUGUUAUAAUUUAGUUAAAACUUAGUAAAGACUGAAUCUACCGUCUCGUUGUGGAGGUAUUAGCCAGCAUUGAGGUUAGCCUAGCAUCGUGUCACACCGGGAGAUAAUUGCUUGGGAAGCUUAAAGAGUUCGUGUUGCCAUGGGGAUAUCGGUUACGGCUAAGGAGUACUGUCUGCAUGGGUAGCUGUGCUUGCCUUGGACUUGGUGAGGAAACCAGCAUGGAACUGCCAUACUUCGCUGAGGGAAUAUCCACCAAGUAGCUGUCAGGCUGUCUAGUCACAGAGGAAGGCUGUGCUUCUCUGGUCUCAGCUCUGAGGUCAAACCCCUCACACCUGAGAGAGCUGGACCUGAGCUACAAUCACCCAGGAGACUCAGGAGUCAGACUGCUCUCUGCUGGACUGGAGGAUCCACACUGCAGACUGGAGAAACUCAAUGUGGAACAUGGUGGAGAGAACAGAAUGAAACCUGGACUUAGAAAAUAUGUCUGUGAUCUCACACUGGACCUAAACACAGUAAACAGACACCUCUCUCUGUCUGAGGAGAACAGAAAGGUGACAUGUAGGAGAGAGAAGCAGCCGUAUCCUGAUCACCCAGAGAGAUUUGAGGACUGGAGACAGGUGCUGUGUGGAGAGGGUUUGACUGGGCGCUGUUACUGGGAGGUAGAGUGGAGUGGGAGAGGGGAGGUUGAGUGGAGUGGGGGGGCUGUUAUAGGAGUGACAUAUAAAGGAAUCAACAGGAGAGGAGUGGUUAAGUACUGUUGUCUUGGAUCCAAUGACAAGUCCUGGAGUCUGUUCUGCUAUGACAACAGUUACUCUGCCUGUCACAAUAAUAACUCCACUACCAUAGACGUCCCCUCCUCCAGCUCCCACAGAGUAGGAGUGUAUCUGGACUGGUCAGCCGGCACUCUGUCCUUCUAUAGAGCCUCCUCUGACACACUGACCCACCUGAUCACAUUCACCUCCACAUUCACUGAGCCCCUCUAUCCAGGGUUUUGGGUUUAUUCUGUUGGCUCUUCAGUGUCCCUGAAAUAAUAACUGGACACACACACACACACACACACACACACACACACACACACACACACACACACACACACACACACACACACACACACACACACACACACACACACACACACACACACUGGACAAACACACACACACACACACUGGACAAACACACACACACUGGACACACACACAAACACACACACACAAACACACACAAACACACACACACACACUGGACACACAAACUGGGCACACACACACUGGACACACACACACACUGGAACACACACACACACACACACACACACACACUGAACACACACUGAACACACACUGAACACACACAAACUGGACACAAAAUGGACACACACACUCAACACACACACUGAACAAACACACACAAACACAUUCUGGACACACGCACACUGGACAAACGAAAACACACACACACUCACACACAUACACACACACACACUGGACACACACACACACACACACACACACACACACACUGGACACACACACACACACACACACACACACACACACACACACACUGGUCAAACAAAAAUACACACACACACACACACACACACACUGGACACACACACACACACACACUGGACAAACAAAGUGGACAAACACACACACUGGACACACACUCACACAAACACUGGACACACACACACACACACACACACACUGGUCAAACAAAAAUACACACACACACACACACUGGACACACACACACACACACACUGGACAAACAAAGUGGACAAACACACACACUGGACACACACACACACAAACACUGGAUACACACAGACACACACACACUGGACACACACACUAGACAAACACACACACACACACACUGGACUCACACACACACACUGGACACACACACACACUGGACACACACACACACACACUGGACACACACACACACACACUGGACACACACACACACACACUGGACACACACACACACACACUGGACACACACACACACACUGGACACACACACACACACACUGGACACACACACACACACUGGACACACACACACACACACUGGACACACACACACACACUGGACACACACACACACACUGGACACACACACACACACUGGACACACACACACACACACUGGACACACACUGGACAAACACACACACACUGGACACACACUGGACAAACACACACACACACACACACUGGACAAACACACACACACACACACACUGGACAAACACACACACACACACACUGGACAAACACACACACACACUGGACAAACACACACACACACUGGACACACACACACACUGGACACACACACACACACACUGGACACACACACACACACACUGGACACACACACACACACACUGGACACACACACACACACUGGACACACACACACACACUGGACACACACACACACACACACACACACACACACACACUGGACACACACACACACACACACACUGGACAAACACACACACACACACACACUGGACAAACACACACACACACACACACACUGGACAAACACACACACACACACACACACUGGACAAACACACACACACACACACUGGACAAACACACACACACACACACUGGACAAACACACACACACACACACUGGACAAACAGUAACAUUCUCAGAACAUACUGCACUUGUUUUAUCCUGUUUUAGAUGUAUCCUCUGUUUAAACAUUUAAACUCUUACAAUAACACUGUUAAAAUACCAAUGUGAUCAUUUCUUGUCUUUUAUGUUGGAAAAACAAAUUGUACAAUUAUAUGUGGACAUACGCUCCAUAGUUGUACAAGUAUAUAUGAUUAUAUUGUACUUUUCAUAAUAAAACAUAUUUGAAA